AAGUAGUGCACUGAAAGGGAAUCGACCGGUAUCCAGUCCGGAACUUACACAGGUGUUGCAUGGCUGUCGUCAGCUCGUACCGUGAGGCGUACCCUUAAGUGGGUUAACGAGCGCAACCCCUACCGUUAGUUGUAUCACUCUAGCGGAACUGCCCCGGCAACGGGGAGGAAGGUGGGGACGACGUCAAGUCGGUAUUGCCUUUAUGCCUGGGGCUAGAAGCAUGCUACAAUGGCGCGUACAGCGAGUUUGCAACGCGGCGACGCGAAGCUAAUCUCUUAAAGCGCGCCCCAGUUCGGAUUGAGGUCUGCAAUUCGACCUCAUGAAGUCGGAAUCGCUAGUAAUCGGCGGUCAGCUAUACGCCGGUGAAUACGUUCUCGGGU
rnacentral:rRNA from 1 species